rnacentral:rRNA from 1 species
GUAGGUGGCAAGCGUUGUCCGGAAUUAUUGGGCGUAAAGCGCGCGCAGGCGGGGUCCCUUAAGUCUGAUGUGAAAGCCCACGGGCUCAACCGUGGAGGGUCAUUGGAAACUGGGGGACUUGAGUACAGAAGAGGAAAGCGGAAUUCCAAGUGUAGCGGUGGAAUGCGUAGAGAUUUGGAGGAACACCAGUGGCGAAGGCGGCUUUCUGGUCUGUAACUGACGCUGAGGCGCGAAAGCGUGGGGAGCAAACAGGAUUAGAUACCCUGGUAGUCCACGCCGUAAACGAUGAGUGCUAAGUGUUAGGGGGUUUCCGCCCCUUAGUGCUGCAGCUAACGCAUUAAGCACUCCGCCUGGGGAGUACGGCCGCAAAGGCUG